CGUGCUUCGAGCUGGCAGUGCGCGAAGGCCUGACGCAGACGCAGCUCGGGUAGUGGUGUCAGACGCGGUGUUGAGAGUGUAUCGACAACCCUCAAAAUCUACUACGCCGACAACUGCCAACUCUUCCCAUUCAGAACGAAAUUUACACAGAUUCUUUGCUGGAACUCUAACGUUCGCUGCAGCGGCGCAAGGGCGAGACCGUACACAGACGUGACUACAACCCUGGCGAGCCGGCAGCGAUGCAAAAAC